AUGUUGUUAAAUAUAAUGCAAUGCUCUGUUACAUUUCUCACACAACAUAUAAAAUUUGAAUGAAAUUCCUUUGGCUAGAUAAAACAGUCAUUUAACAAAAGAUAAUUAAGUAAUUAUGCACUUUAUUAAAAUCAUAGAAAUUAAGAGCUGAAAAUAUAGAGACCAUCAUAGUCCAAUAUUCUCCUCUCACUGUUGUAUCAAUGGAGACAGAAUACCGGGGCUGUUUUAGAGCUAGAGCCACAUGGAGGAAUUGGUCUUUGUUAAAUAAGGCCUGCAUGGUGAGUAUACAGCAAAUGUGAUGGAGAUAGGAUGAUUAGGACGAAGAGGAACAUUCAUACUAUUCUUUAGUAGCUCUUUCCCCAGGGACUCCUGUAUUUUAACAUACCACAUCUCCUGGCAAAGAAGGUGCUGCGGUGUAUAAAUGAAUAGGCUAUCCGGGUGGGGGUUCCAGGUUAGCCCACUUCCAACUGUGGUAUUUCCUAAUUAGUCUGUAAAAUUUUCAGGAAAUUUUUACUGCUUUAGUCCAAAGAAAAAAGGGAAUAAGUUGCAGUUAGAUCCCUUGGAGGGCCUACAAGGAAUGAGAAGUUUGGAGUUAAUGUAGACAGUUCUCAGAUUUGGGUGGUUCUACCCCCACUGUUUUACAUUUCUGGCAUUCCAUCACUUUCCCAGAUAUUACCACUUUGUGCCUUGAAAUAAAACAAGCAGAUACAAAUGAACUUAUAUCAUCCUUCCUUCCUUAUCUAAUGGUGUCACUACCUUGUUUCUGAAUGUCCCUCAGUACACAGACAGUGAAGCUCAAACUCCCUUAUAUUGGAUGUGUGUCCCUUCCAAAUCUCAUGUUGAAAUGUAAUUCCCAAUGCUGGAGGUAGGGCCUAGUGGGAGGUAUUGGAUCAUGGGGCAGAUCCCCCAUGAAUGGCUUGCUUCUGUCCCCGUAAUAGUGAGUGAAUUCCUGCAGGAUCCAGUUAAGAUUGCGGCACCUACUUCCUCCCACUCACUGUGCGCUCCCGCUCUGGCCACGUGAUGCAUGUGCUCCUCCUUCACCUUCCGCCAUGAUUGGAAGCUUCUUGAGGCCCUCACCAGAAGCAGAUGAGAGCACUAUGCUUACCCUACAGCUUGCAGAACCGUCAGCCAAUGAACCCUCUUUUCUUUAUGCAUUGCCCAGUGUCAAGUAUUCCUUUAUGGCAAUGCAAGAAUAAACUAACACGCUCCUUAAAGGAGAGAAUCUAUGAAAAGCUUCUAGCAGUGUGUCAGGCUCAAUAAAUUGUAGUCCCCAACCUAUCAUGGCACAAAAGGGCCCUUCCAAAUUGACUUCUCAUUUAUAGGACUCUCCCAUCCUCCUUCACUUUUCACUGCCUUCUCCAAAAUGUUCCAGUGUUCUAGAACACUGGGGUCUUCUCCGUUCUGUGCACUAUCCAACUGCUCUAUCUUUGUCCAUGUCAUUACCGCGGUCUAGAAUUCACAUCCACACACUCUGUCAGCCUGCAGAAUCCCCACUGUUCCUUUAGAAUCAAAUCAAGUGUCAACUCUCUGAAGCCCCCGAUUCUCAUUUUCCCCACUACCUCUUCCUCAGAAGGAAUUGCUGCCUAAUUUUGAUUUUGUACAUAGCUCUUUCAUAAUACUGGCCACAAUAUGGCAGUUAUUUGUUUAUGUAUUUGCUUCUUCUGAUAACUAACGAGGUCUUGAAAGUAGAGACUGUGUCUUACAUAACCAACUUGUAGUUCAGCACCCAAAAUAUGAAUCUCACUCUGUCACCCAGGCUGGAGUGGAGCAGUGCCAUCUCGGCUUACGGCAACCUCUCAGGUUCGAGCAAUUCACCUGCCUCAGCCUCCCGAGUAUCUGAGGCUAUAGGCAUGUGCCACCACACCUAGCUAAUUUUUUGUAUUUUUAGUAGAGACAGGGUUUCACCAAGUUGGCUGGUCUCGAACUCCUGACCUCAAUGAUCUGCCUGCCUCAGCCUCCCAAAGUACUGGUAUUACAGGCAUGUGCCACCAUGCCCGGCCAAUUUUCUGUUUUUCUUCUUUUCUUUUCUUUUUUUUGAAUCAGAGUCUCCCUCUGUCACCCAGGCUGGAGUGCAGUGUCACGAUCUCGGCUCAGUGCAACCUCCGCCCUCCGGAUUCAAGCGAUUAUCCUCUCUCAGCCUCCCAAGUAGCUGGGAGUACAGGUGCACGCCACUGCAUCCGGCUAAUUUUUGUAUUUUUAGUAGAGAUGGGGUUUCGCCAUGUUGGCCAGGCUAGUCUCAAACUCCUGACCUCAGGUGAUCCGCCUGCCUCGACUUCCCAAAGUGCUCAGAUUACAGGUGUGAAAAGUGCAUUCCUAGAUAGUAUUUUUCCUUGGGGAUUCAUGAAUGUAGGUCGUUCAGUGUUUUCUGACAAUGUCCUCUGGCAGCCAACCACCAUUCUACUUUGUGUCUCCAUGAAUUUCACUAUUCUAAGCACCUAAUGGCUACCACGAUGGCUGGGUGCCUGCAGGACUGCUAAGAUCCACUGACUGUCUGAUGCCCUCUCUCCUGGGCCUGAGCUUGUCUCCAGGAAGCACUGAUGCAAGUGCAGAUGCAUUUGAGUUGCUCCGAAUAGCAAGGGGGUGAUCCAGUAGAGCUCAGUGUUACUGCGUGGGGAGCAAUGGUCAACUGGACCCUGAUGGGACACCCCUAGGACAC
rnacentral:lncRNA from 1 species